UAUCAUGUUCCUACUCUGUUUUAUGCUUGUUUGAAGUUGAUGCAUGAUAUUGUGCUUUAUAUGAGCUUGUAUAUGCAUACCUUGACUUGUUGAAUUUAAUUGACAUGCUUACCUUUGUCCAAAUGACUUGGAAUUUGGUGUGAUGAUCAUGUUAUGAGUGCUGUUUAGCUAUGAAUUUUCUUGAGAUUUAUUGAAUUGUUUUUGAUUGAUUUUGGAUUGAUUCAUUCUGUUUGGUCCAAUGAGCUUUGAAAUGACAUGCUUUGCACUAAAU
rnacentral:lncRNA from 1 species